GACGAACGCUGGCGGCGUGCUUAAUACAUGCAAGUAGGACGCAGUUGCGAACGGGUGAGUAACGCGUAGGUAACUACCUAUUAGAGGGGGAUAACUAUUGGAAACGAUAGCUAAUACCGCAUACUAGUAGAUGGACCUGCGUUGUAUUAGCUUGUAGGUUGGGUAAUGGCCUACCUAGGCAACGCUACAUAGCCGGCCUGGAGGUGUGAUCGGCCACACGGGGACUGAGAAACGGCCCAGACUCCCACGGGAGGCAGCAGGAGGGAAGUUUCGGCAAUGGGGGGAACCCUGACAGAGCAACGCCGCGUGAGUGAAGAAGGUUUUCGGAUCGUAAAGCUCUGUUGUUAAGGAAGCGGUACUUAACCAGAAAGGGACGGCUAACUACGUGCCAGCAGCCGCGGUAAUAC
rnacentral:rRNA from 1 species